rnacentral:tRNA from 1 species
AAGCCGUGGCUCAUGGGUCUUGCACCAGCCUUCACACGGCAGGGGUCACUGGUUCGAUCCCAGUACCGCCCACCA